rnacentral:rRNA from 1 species
ACGGAAGGCAGCAGUGGGGAAUAUUGCACAAUGGGGGAAACCCUGAUGCAGCGACGCCGCGUGAGUGAAGAAGUAUUUCGGUAUGUAAAGCUCUAUCAGCAGGAAAGAAAACGACGGUACCUGACUAAGAAGCCCCGGCUAACUACGUGCCAGCAGCCGCGGUAAUACGUAGGGGGCAAGCGUUAUCCGGAUUUACUGGGUGUAAAGGGAGCGUAGACGGCUUUGCAAGUCUGAAGUGAAAGCCCGGGGCUCAACCCCGGAACUGCUUUGGAAACUGUAGAGCUAGAGUGCAGGAGAGGUAAGUGGAAUUCCUAGUGUAGCGGUGAAAUGCGUAGAUAUUAGGAGGAACACCAGUGGCGAAGGCGGCUUACUGGACUGUAACUGACGUUGAGGCUCGAAGGCGUGGGGAGCAAACAGGAUUAGAUACCCUGGUA